UUUUUUUGUAAGGAGGUGGUUUCCACGGGUGCUGGGAAAUGGCUUUCUUUCCUUUCUUACAGCAUAAUGACAUGCACAUUGUGUUGUCAGAGUCCAGAUGUGUUAUUUACUCUCCUAGGGGCAUCAUUUGACUUUAGGUGGAGCGUGUGGAACAGAGGAGCCUUCCUGGCUGGGGGGGGGGGGGGGGGGUUGGCUUGGUGGGGGAGCACACAAGCCCCCUGCUGGCAUGAGGUGUGAGGUUUGGUCCCUCGUACCACAUCUCUGGAGCAGUGUUGUCUCUCUCUUUUUCUCUCUUUUCUUUCUUUUUCCUUUUUUCAAAUUUUAUUUAUUAUUAUUAUUAUUAUUAUUUUUAAUAGAGCACUGCUCAGCUCUGGCUUUUGGUGGUGCAUGAGAAUGAACCUGGGACUUUGGAGCCUCAGGCUCAGUGAGAGUCUGUUUGCAUAACCAUUAAUGCUAUUUGCCCCCACCCUUCUGUCUCUCACUAAAUAAAUGAGUCUAAAAAAGAAUAUUGAAGUUGAGAAAUUAACUGAGCUUGGUCCCACAGUGCUCCCUUGUAAGUUUCUUCCUGUCCUUUCCCUUGUCCUAAGUUUUUUUCUGUCCUUUCCUUGUCCUCACCUAGUGGGUUGAGGGUUUCUUUCUAGUUAGAAAAGUACCAGGAAAAAAAAAAAAAGGCCACCAAUCUGGAAACACUAAUUACGUGCUAUUUGAUGGGGUUCUUUCAAGUGUCUUUAAACCCUCUUGUGGGGGGCUGGGCCAUGGGUCACCCAUUGGAGCACACACAUUGCCAUGUGCAAGGACCCAGGUCAGAGCCUCUGCUCCCCACCUACAGGGGGACACUUCAGGAGUAGUGAAGCAGGUCUGCAGGUGUCUCUUUCCCCUCCCUAUCUUCUCCCCUUUUAAUCACUGUCCUAUCAAAUAAAAUAGAAACUAAACAGCAGCAGAACUUAUUGGUGAAGGAAUCAAGUUAUGCCUCUGGAGGGACUGACCUGUAUGCCUCCCCAGCCAGAGACCCUUCAGAGAUGUCUCCCCAGAUUUGAGCAGGUAGGGACUUGCUUUCUUAAACCCAGUUACUGCUUAGGUGAAACUCUGGGUGAGUGGAGUCUGAAAUCAUGCUUAUGAGAAGUUGGGACAUUUAGAAAGUAGGGGUUGGACAAGUCACUGAGUGGAAUGUGGACUUCUGAAGUAGAAAGGAAAGGUGGGUAUUUCAGAGGAGUAGAAAGAAAAAUGGAGGCAAAGAGUUGCUUCUUGUGCACACAGAAGAAGCAUGGCGUGCCCACAAGUGCACAGCCAGGAUGCCAUCUUCACAGAUGCCUUUCAGGUUAGUGCUCACUCUCCUCAGUGCCUUCCAGGAGCGAGUGGCUGUAAGGCAGUUGGCUCAGUGGGCAGGUGAUGUCUGGUAGAAACAAGUCCAAGCCAUGCAGACUAGUUGGUAGAUGGUGUUUCCCCAAGGAAAAUGCCCACCUUCCUGUGGUGUUCAGUUUUCUGGCCAGUCCGGGUGGGGUCUGGGGACUUCUUAGCUCAGCAGCCAGCUUCAUACGCGUUUCUCAGAGACUUUGUAUUUCUCUCAUUUGGCAUCGGGAUAACCCCUAACCCAUCAUUUGCUGGUGAAGUAUGAUAUUUAUCUUGAGACAGAUGCUUGUCUAGGUUCUGUAAUAUAUUUCAUUUUUCUGUUUUGGAAGAUGCUUGUUCAGAGAGAAAAAGAAGCAGCAAGAGAGGGAGGAGGAAGAAAAGGAGGAGGAACAGAAAAGGGCUGAAGGGCUUUGCUGGGGCCCUGAGACUGGACGCCCCUCACGAGGAGGCCACGUGGAAGCAGAGGUGACAGAGGACAGACAGGCCGUUAUGAGGCUUUGAAGAAUGUGCACAGCUCACUGUUACACACAGGAGUGUCUCCCAAGUUAUUGACCGGGAGCCACACUGGUUGUGAAUCCCACAGAAAGCUUUAUCCCGCUCACAUAUCAUUCAGUGUAAUUAUGGGUGGCGAUUAAGACCAUACAUUAAGUAGAGACCAACUUGUGAACGUUGUAUACUUCACAUGACCUUCAGAACAUAUUUAGAGCCGACACUUGGGGUUUGAUACUAGCUCUGCAGUAGCAUUUUGCAGCCCCUCUUGGUGGUUGAUGGCAGCCCUAUAGAUUUUACAGGUCUGAAUGAUUAUUAAUUAGUAAAGAGACUUCCCUUGAGGCACUUUUGUAUUUAUUUUCCCCCCCAGUGUUUAGAAACGUUAAGUAUGUCUUCUAGUAUCUU